rnacentral:lncRNA from 1 species
UUAAUUAUUUGUUCUUACAACUAUUACUUUUACUUUCUCUUCUUCUCACAUCUUCUGCUUCUCCUCUUGUGUCACUUGCUUGCAAUGAAAGAAAAUUGAAGAGUAAAAGUCUACCAUUGAAGACCAUUCAAAGCUUUGCUUUUGAAAAUGAGGUUUUUUGAAUUUGUUAGUUGUUUGGAUUGGGUAUUGUUCCAAUUGAUUGAAAAUAUUCAAGAUUUAAAUUUGAAGUGAUUUGAAGUAGAUUUGAGUUAAAUUUCAGAAAAGACGCAAGGAAGAAGACGAAGUCAGUUUUUGUAUAAUUAUGUAUAAUCUUGUAUAAUUUUAUAUAUGAG